GCGCACCAGGCGAGAAACCUCCGCAAUACACGAAAGUGCGACGGGGCCAUCCCGAGUGCCGUCCGCUGAGGACGGCUUUUUCCCCAGUGUACACAGCUGGGGGAAUAAGGAGAGGGCAAGCCUGGUGUCAGCCGCCGCGGUAAUACCAGCUCUCCGAGUGGUGGGGACGCUUAUUGGGCCUAAAGCAUCCGUAGCCGGCUGGGCAAGUCCUCGUUAAAUCCAACGAUUCAAUCGUUGGGCUGCGGGGGAUACUGUCCAGCUUGGGGGCGGGAGAGGCCGAC
rnacentral:rRNA from 1 species